CGUAGACGUUCCUCGAAAUGAGCGCGAUGUGCCAGGGCGCGAGAAUAGCUGUGUCUUCGAGCUGAUGCAAUCUCGUGCGAUCCGCUCACUUCAUUGCGAAAGAUGUCGACCUUAUUGUGAUGUUCCAGCUUCUGCGGAUCCUGCCGUUGAUCAGGAAGCGUGGACUCGCAUUUCAAGGACUUCAGCUCGAUCUGCACCGUGCUUAACUGCAACAAAUAAAAAGACGGUCCUUGAUUACGUGGUAUGCGUGACUACGCGUGUGUGAUACACAUGCGCUUGUGGAAUGCGUGAGAGUAGGGCCACAGCUGUCGACUCGUGCGGCUGCAAUCGCCAUGCGUGUGUCAAAUACCACAGACGUGGUCAACCCGUCGCUAGCUCGAAAGCUUACAGUAGUUAAAAAAUUUGGAUUACUACUUCGCUGAAACAAGUACAAAGAGAUACUCUUAUAGAAUUUUUGCUCAACUUUAAAGAGAGAUAUUUUUUGAAAAUUUUCGAUAAUUACGUCUACGACUUCCGUUCGUGCAUAUUUAAUCCAAGUUUUGGAAGAUUUCGACUGUACAUCUAUUUCUAAGACGGGAGUGGGUGGUCGGCCAUGUCCAUCGCACAACAGAUUGUCACAGGCUAAUGAUAUCUCGCACAUUGGCACUUCCGCCGGAUCUGAGAAACAGCAUGUUCGGCAUUAGGUAUAUUCGCACCUGUGAAGGUCCCGCGCUGCAACCGCAACAUCUGUAUGUCGGUGUCGUGCUUGUGCCCACUGAAGGCCUCGAUGCGCUGGCGCAACGAUAACAACUGGCUCCGCAUGCACUCGUAGCUGGCCAGUUGCAGCGCCUGCAACCAACUGUCCCGUUCCUCGGCUGUAUUCGCGCCUAACUGUUGAAAUAAGCCUCCGUCGAAAACUGCAACAUUUUUUCAAUGUUCUUUUGGACGUCGCCUCACAUGCUACGUGAAAGCGGAGAAAACGUGCUUGCAUGCAGACGACGGCAGAUGCGUCGUCGAUGUACUCUUCGGUAACAAUGCACCAAGGAAGAUAAUGGAAGAAAGAAAGAAAAAUACAGAAGCUGCACGGAGGAUGAUACUUACCUAUGCUGAAUCCGUAAGGGACGUUGGUGCUGGACGGAUCCACGCGUACCGUACACUGCUCCAGGAUGAUCACCCCCAGCGGCUCCGACCACUGCUCCCGCGAUUUGAAAUAGAACAGAAGAUUGCCUCGCAGUCUGCACCAUCGUUCGAGACUUACUGCACAAGAGAAGCAGAGCAGCAGCGGCUUAAGCGCGGCCGUUCGUACGCUGGGAGAUUAAAGAGGGGAGUUUUUGUGCGUGAUAACAAGCAGCAGAAGAGGCAAGGAAGACGAAGGGAAGGAAGAGGAGGAGGAGGACGACAGCUGUCGCGUUUGGUCCCUUGCGGACUGAUUAGCAAUGAUGAUCAGGUUCUUCGAAAGAGCAUAUCAGUCGCGACGAAACAAUCAUUAAAAAUGAUAACGUAGGACUGGAGGAGCAGAGCUCCAACUAAAUAUCUGUCAGUUUAAUUGUUUAAUAUACCGCGUCCGCAAAUACUGGUUAGCGUGGCAAGAUAAUAUUUUGCUAGAGAUAAUUUUUUUUUCUAGAAAAGAUGUGAGAAAGUGAACGAGUUUUCUCGUGAGACCGAUUGACCUUAUCAUUCCGUCACUAUAUCGCUGCGUCCUUGAUCUCUCCCCUUCUCAUCCCCUUCGUUAAGAUCAAUGCAAUCUUGAACUACAGUUUACAAUAUAAGCAUACAAGAUUCUUGUAAGCUGUAAACAUAUGCUGUAAAAUGCAUGAAUAUACAUGUAUAU